AUCCUGGUGGCGAGUGGCGAACGGGUGAGUAAUAUAUCGGAACGUGCCCAGUCGUGGGGGAUAACGUAAAGAAAUUUACGCUAAUACCGCAUACGAUCUAAGGAUGAAAGCGGGGGACCGUAAGGCCUCGCGCGAUUGGAGCGGCUGAUAUCAAAUUAGGUUGUUGGUGAGGUAAAAGCUCACCAAGCCGACGAUCUGUAGCUGGUUUGAGAGAACGACCAGCCACACUGGGACUGAGACACGGCCCAGACUCCUACGGGAGGCAGCAGUGGGGAAUUUUGGACAAUGGGGCGAAAGCCUGAUCCAGCAAUGCCCGCGUGCAGGAAGAAGGCCUUCGGGUUGUAAACUGCUUUUGUACGGAACGAAAAAGGUCUUGCCCUAAUACGGCGGGUCCAUGACGGUACCGUAAGAAUAAGCACCGGCUAACUACGUGCCAGCAGCCGGCGGUAAUACGUAGGGUGCGAGCGUUAAUC
rnacentral:rRNA from 1 species